rnacentral:rRNA from 1 species
AUUGAACGCUGGCGGCAUGCUUUACACAUGCAAGUCGGACGGCAGCACAGAGAGGCUUGCUUCUUGGGUGGCGAGUGGCGAACGGGUGAGUAACAUAGCGGAACGUACCGAGCAGUGGGGGAUAACUAAUCGAAAGAGUAGCUAAUACCGCAUAUCUUCUGAGGCAGAAGGCAGGGGACCAUUUGGCCGUGCUCUGUUUGAGCGUCCGAUAUCUGAUUAGCUAGUUGGUGGGGUAAAGGCCUACCAAGGCGACGAUCAGUAGCGGGUCUGAGAGGAUGAUCCGCCACACUGGGACUGAGACACGGCCCAGACUCCUACGGGAGGCAGCAGUGGGGAAUUUUGGACAAUGGGCGAAAGCCUGAUCCAGCAAUGCCGCGUGUGUGAAGAAGGCCUUCGGGUUGUAAAGCACUUUUGUCAGGGAAGAACAGAGCGGGGUUAAUACCUCUGUCUGAUGACGGUACCUGAAGAAUAAGCACCGGCUAACUACGUG